rfam:Papilio machaon contig45595, whole genome shotgun sequence.
GCGUCAUUGGCUCAGGGGUUAAGCACUUGACUUGCAAUCUGCAGAUCCUGGGUUCGAAUCCCGGCAUGAACCA